CCUACGUGUGGCAGCAGUGGGGAAUAUUGCGCAAUGGGCGAAAGCCUGACGCAGCGACGCCGCGUGAGGGAUGAAGGUCUUCGGAUCGUAAACCUCUGUCAGCAGGGAAGAACGGUCACUGUGCUAAUCAGCAGUGAAUUGACGGUACCUGCAAAGGAAGCACCGGCUAACUCCGUGCCAGCAGCCGCGGUAAUACGGCGGGUGCGAGCGUUAAUCGGAAUUACUGGGCGUAAAGCGCUCGUAGGCGGUAUGUCAAGUCAAGGGUGAAAGCCCCGCGCUCAACGUGGGAACUGCGCUUGAAACUGGCAAACUGGAGUGUGGGAGAGGAGAGUGGAAGUCCAGGUGUAGGAGUGAAAUCCGUAGAUAUCUGGAGGAACAUCAGUGGCGAAGGCGACUAUCUGGCACAUAACUGACGCUGAGGAGCGAAAGCGUGGGUAGCAAACAGGAUUAGAUACCCGAGUAGUC
rnacentral:rRNA from 1 species